ACCCGGUUCCAGUACGAUCAGAGAAGUUAAGCAACGUCGAGCCUGGUCAGUACCUAGAUGGGUGACCGUUUGGGUAUAUCAGAUGCUGUA